UACGAGAGGCCCAAACGUUAUUCGGAUUUACUGGGCUUAAAGAGUUCGUAGGCGGCGCAGAAAGUAGGGUGUGAAAGCCCUCGGCCUAACCGAGGAAUUGCGCUCCAAACUACUGUGCUUGAGGAAUCUAGAGGUGAGCGGAACUGAUGGUGGAGCGGUGAAAUGCGUUGAUAUCAUCAGGAACACCGGAGGCGAAGGCGGCUCACUGGGGAUUUUCUGACGCUGAGGAACGAAAGCCAGGGGAGCAAACGGG
rnacentral:rRNA from 1 species